UGGACUAUCUGGACAUUUGGG
rnacentral:piRNA from 1 species